ACGCUCGACACCUACGGGAGGCGGCAGUGGGGAAUAUUGCACAAUGGGGGAAACCCUGAUGCAGCGACGCCGCGUGAGCGAAGAAGUAUCUCGGUAUGUAAAGCUCUAUCAGCAGGGAAGAAGAUGACGGUACCUGACUAAGAAGCACCGGCUAAAUACGUGCCAGCAGCCGCGGUAAUCUGAGCGGGCUGGCAAGGC
rnacentral:rRNA from 1 species